UACUAGAGUAGCACUCGCAUAUCAAUAAGCGGAGGAAAAGAAACUAACAAGGAUUCCCCUAGUAACGGCGAGUGAAGCGGGAAGAGCUCAAAUUUGAAAUCUUAAAGGGUUUCCCUUUACGAAUUGUAGUUUAAAGAAGUGUUCUCUGUUGAGGUUUUGGUAAAAGUUCUUUGGAAUAGGACAUCAUAGAGGGUGAGAAUCCCGUAUUUGACCUUUACUUUCAACUUUGUGAUACACUUUCAAAGAGUCGGAUUGUUUGGGAAUGCAGUCCAAAAUGGGUGGUAAAUUUCAUCUAAAGCUAAAUAUUGGCGAGAGACCGAUAGCGAACAAGUACCGUGAGGGAAAGAUGAAAAGAACUUUGAAAAGAGAGUUAAACAGUACGUGAAAUUGUCAAAAGGGAAGCGUUUGACACCAGUGUUGUUUUUCUGAAAAUCAAUUAAAGAACUGUUUAUGCUAAGUUGUUUAGACUUUAUCAGCUAACUGUUUAGUUUUGAGCUUUUCUUCAAUGCACUUUUCAGUUAACAAGUCAACAUCAAUUUCUUUUGCUGUAAAAAAGCUUGAGGAAGGUGGCUUGAGAUUCGUCUUAAGUGUUUAUAGCCUCUUGCCUAUGCAGUCGGAGAGAUUGAGGUCUGCAGCGUAGAUCCUUCGGGGCUAAAUGCAUUUGUGCUAAGUUAUAGCAUUUUAUAGACAACUUGUUGACUAUGAUUUGUCUUGUAGCUUACUCGCUUAUGUUAUUUUACCUACGCUUAGGAUGUUGAGCGCAUGUCUCUCUCU
rnacentral:rRNA from 1 species